GCUCUUGCUCUCUGUCCCACCUCUAAACCCUAAUAUCCACCGUUCAUCAUCAUCUAAUUAGGGUUUUCUUCUCUGUUAUUUCAUUCUCUGUAUUCGAAAGGAGGCGAAAGAAAGAAGAAGAAUAGGAUGGGCGGAGGUGAUCAUCAUCAUGGCCAUCCAGCAGAUGGGGCCCACGGAGAUUUCAGGAACAAGGUAUGGAGCAUGACGGGUGGGCCAUACUGCAGGCCCGUACACUGGAAGCGCAACACGGCGAUCGCCAUGUUCGGCAUCUUCCUUGUCUGCAUCCCCAUCGCCAUGAAAUCCGCCGAGCUCGAGCAACGGCCACAUCAUCCUGUUCGCCCAAUUCCUUCGCAGCUUUGGUGCAAAAAUUUUGGGAAAAAGGAAUAUUGAUAUACCUUUUCUUUUAUAUUAGUGCAUCCAUCUUGGGCUGUAAGGAACAGAUGCCUAGCUUGGGAUGAAGGGGGAACCGGAUACUGCAUUCACGCAGCAGCUUACAGUGUUUGCCCGUGUAAGGGUGGAUCAAAGCCUCUGACUUGUUACCUUCUCCUCCCACUACCCGACUAUCUGUGUUUCAUGCAGACAAUAAAUUUUGAGGUGCUCAAAUAAUGUAAACCUAGGACCUCUACUUUGAUCCUCUAGUUGAGUUGCAAGUGUGGCCCGGUGCCUCAACCAUGAGGUUGCUCGGUUCAGUCCCAGCUCACCUAUCAAAAGAAAAUGCAGUUUAGCAUCUUCUACAGAUAAAUCUAUCUCAUGGCCUCCUUGUUAGGUAUUACUAAUCGGAAAUUGCUCCUAUUUCUACUACGCCAAAGAACUGCUGAAUGUUUAGGUGUCUGUGGAUGUUCCAUGCGUAUCUUUUUUAUUUUAUUUUUUAGUCAUAUCUUUGUUUUACUGCUGUCCAUGUGUGAGCUCCGAGCUUUCUAUCAGGUGGGUGGUGGGCGAGUCUUUAUACGUUCUCCCUUAAAAAUAUAGCAGUUGUGCUAAGGUGGGCUAGUGCAUGAAACUUUUUAUCCUUCGCAUGAAUCUUGACGUGAUAUUUCAAGCA